GGCGGCUUGUCGCGUCUGCUGUGAAAUCCCGGAGCUCAACUCCGGGCCUGCAGUGGGUACGGGCAAGCUAGAGUGCGGUAGGGGAGAUUGGAAUUCCUGGUGUAGCGGUGGAAUGCGCAGAUAUCAGGAGGAACACCGAUGGCGAAGGCAGAUCUCUGGGCCGUAACUGACGCUGAGGAGCGAAAGCAUGGGGAGCGAACAGGAUUAGAUACCCUGGUAGUCCAUGCCGUAAACGUUGGGAACUAGAUGUAGGGCCUGUUCCACGGGUUCUGUGUCGUAGCUAACGCAUUAAGUUCCCCGCCUGGGGAGUACGGCCGCAAGGCUAAAACUCAAAGGAAUUGACGGGGGCCCGCACAAGCGGCGGAGCAUGCGGAUUAAUUCGAUGCAACGCGAAGAACCUUACCAAGGCUUGACAUAUACGAGAACGGGCGAGAGAUCGUCAACUCUUUGGACACUCGUAAACAGGUGGUGCAUGGUUGUCGUCAGCUCGUGUCGUGAGAUGUUCGGUUAAGUCCGGCAACGAGCGCAACCCUCGUCCUAUGUUGCCAGCACGUUAUGGUGGGAACUCAUGGGAUACUGCCGUGGUCAACACGGAGGAAGGUGGGGAUGACGUCAAAUCAUCAUGCCCCUUAUGUCUUGGGCUUCACGCAUGCUACAAUGGCCGAUACAAUGGGCUGCGAUACCGCGAGGUGGAGCGAAUCCCAAAAAGUCGGUCUCAGUUCGGAUUGGGGUCUGCAACUCGACCCCAUGAAGUCGGAGUCGCUAGUAAUCGCAGAUCAGCAACGCUGCGGUGAAUACGUUCCCGGGCCUUGUACACACCGCCCGUCAAGUCAUGAAAGUCGGUAACACCCGAAGCCGGUGGCCUAACCCCUUGUGGGAGGGAGCC
rnacentral:rRNA from 1 species